rnacentral:tRNA from 1 species
ACGGGUAUAGUAUAAUGGUAGUACGUUCGUCUUCCAAACGAAGUGUGCCGAUUCAAAUUCGGCUACCCGUA